CCCCAGUAACUGCGAGUGAAGCGGCAAAAGCUCAAAUUUGAAAUCUGGCGUCUUUGGCGCCCGAAUUGUAAUUUGGAGAGACAUCUUUGGAGAUGGCGCCGUCCUAAGUUCCUUGGAACAGGACGUCACAGAGGGUGAGAAUCCCGUGCCUGGGUGGCUGCCCAUCUCCAUGUAAAGUGUCUUCGACGAGUCGAGUUGUUUGGGAAUGCAGCUCAAAAUGGGUGGUAAAUGUCAUCUAAAGCUAAAUAUUGGCGAGAGACCGAUAGCGCACAAGUAGAGUGAUCGAAAGAUGAAAAGCACUUUGAAAAGAGAGUCAAAAAGUACGUGAAAUUGUUGAAAGGGAAGCGCUUGAGACCAGACUCGAUCUGUGGUAAUCAGCUGGGCUUCUGUCCAGUGCACUUGUCAUGGGUUGGGCCAGCAUCGGUUCUGGCGGUGGGAUAAAAGGUGUGGGAAUGUAGCUUCCUUUGGGGAGUGUUAUAGCCCACGUCACCAUGCCACCAGCUGGGACCGAGGACCGCGCUUCGGCUAGGAUGCUGGCGUAAUGGUCUUAAGCGACCCGUCUUGAAACACGGACCAAGGAGUCUAACAUCUAUGCGAGUGUUCGGGUGGAAAACCCUUGCGCGUAAUGAAAGUGAAUGGAGGUGGGAGCCCGCAAUUGUGGGUGCACCAUCGACCGAUCCCGAUGUCUUCGGAGGGUUGUGAGUAAGAGCAUAGCUGUUGGGACCCGAAAGAUGGUGAACUAUGCCUGAAUAGGGUGAAGCCAGAGGAAACUCUGGUGGAGGCUCGCAGCGGUUCUGACGUGCAAAUCGAUCGUCAAAUUUGGG
rnacentral:rRNA from 1 species